CUGGGCAACGGUGAGCUCCAAUGGAAAGUGAAAAAAAUAUUAAGGACCCUCCCAAACAAAGUGAAAUGCCAACACAUUCUGCAAAAGCUUCAAUUCACAUUAUAUGUGUUUGUGAUAGCACAAUAAAGGGAACAAGGAAACCCACAGAAGAGUUGUGAAACACACUCCUCUUGAAUUCUUGUUUGUUUGUUUUUUAAACAACAGCAGAGAAAGAACAGGAGGAAAAGACAAGGUCUAGUCUGAGUCAACAGGAAUGAAGAUACCAACUUUUAGGUAGCACUUUAAUGGAAGGAUUCUCCACCUCUAAGUGCCCCAGGUUAUAAAUCUCAGGGGAAAGAGUCCUUGAUUUGGUCACUUCUGUGACCAAAAGCCGGAAACGUAAAUGAGAUGUGGAGCCCAAGGUGACUAAGAUUCUAUCUUUUCUAUCAAGACCAGAAAGAAAAACUUGAAGGGUUCAAAGAGAAAGGCGACGAAUGGCCCAAAUGCGCACUUCAGCAAAUUCUCGGUUGAGGCCCAGCAUGACGAGGUACAACGACAGAUCAGAGACAGCUCCUUGACUUUAAUCCUGAGCUCACUCUUGGCAGUUCUUCAGUGGAUGCUUCUUGAACUCUCUUGGAUAAGUUAUCUUGGGGCCCUCAGUCUCCUCCUUUGAAAAAUGAGAAGAUCAGACAAGAUGGUUUGUAAGGCUGCUUCUAGAUCUGACAUUCUCUCGUUCUAUAUCUACUAUGGAUAAGUUCCAAUUUUUCAGGGUGGGUGAUCUCCCACAGAAACAGAAUUUCCCAGAGAAGUAAGAGAAAUGAACAUCACGAGAAAAAAAAUCUAAGUAUAAAGCAAUUUGGGAAGGCUUUCUGUAUCAAUAUUCCCAUGAGAAAAGAGGAUGAUAUAGAGGACUUAGAGGAGAAAGGAGUGGAAAAAAGAAAAGAAAAGAAAUAAAAGAAGAAAGAUGAGAGAACCAAGUGAAGAGGACACUGAUUUUCAAACCAUCCCCAAGACUCAGGUUUUGCUGGAAGUAUCUAGUAUAAUAAACAUUUUA